rnacentral:lncRNA from 1 species
GUGGAUUAUAUGAUAUAUCUAUGGACUAAAUACAGUGAUAUUGUUAACACAACAAAGAAAAGGAGAAACUUUGGAAACAUAACUAUUUUGUGCUUUAUUUCAAGACGAUAUUACUCUAAACAGUUUAAAAAUGAAGCGCUCUCGCACGCGCGCACACACACACACAGGUGAAAAACAUGGAUAUUUUUUCUAUUGAUAUCUCAACUUAAUAAAUACAAACCAUCUAUGUAUUUUGAGGAAAAUUAAAACUAGUUUUUCUUUGUGGAAAUUAAUGUGUUCCAUUUUUUUCAAAGUAGACGCUGGUAUUACUUUACAGAAGGGGCAAAUGAUAUGUACUUGUUUUAAUGAUAUAUCUUUAAUGUUGUUAGGUUAAUUUUUACCAACUAUAUG